GAUGAACGCUGGCGGCGUGCCUAAUACAUGCAAGUCGAGCGAACAGACGAGGAGCUUGCUCCUCUGACGUUAGCGGCGGACGGGUGAGUAACACGUGGAUAACCUACCUAUAAGACUGGGAUAACUUCGGGAAACCGGAGCUAAUACCGGAUAAUAUAUUGAACCGCAUGGUUCAAUAGUGAAAGACGGUUUUGCUGUAACUUAUAGAUGGAUCCGCGCCGAAUUAGCUAGUUGGUAAGGUAACGGCUUACAAAGGCAACGAUGCGUAGCCGACCUGAGAGGGUGACCGGCCACACUGGAACUGAGACACGGUCCAGACUCUUACGGGAGGCGGCAGUAGGGAAUCUUCCGCAAUGGGCGAAAGCCGGACGGAGCAACGCCGCGUGAGUGAUGAAGGUCUUCGGAUCUUAAAACUCUGUUAUUAGGGAAGAACAAAUGUGUAAGUAACUAUGCACGUCUUGACGGUACCUAAUCAGAAAGCCACGGCUAACUACGUG
rnacentral:rRNA from 1 species